GACGAACGCUGGCGGCGUGCUUAACACAUGCAAGUCGAACGGAAAGGCCCUGCUUGCAGGGUCCUCGAGUGGCGAACGGGUGAGUAACACGCGGGUGAUCUGCCCUGCACUUCGGGAUAAGCCUGGGAAACUGGGUCUAAUACUGGAUAGGAGCCAUUCUUAGUGUGAUGGUUGGAACGCUUUUUCGGUGUUGGAUGAGGCCGAGGCCUCUUAGCAAGUUGGUGGGGUCAUGGACUACCAAGGCGGCGACCCGUAGCCGGCCUGAGAGGAUGGUCAGCCAGAGUGGGACUCAGACACGGCCCAAACGGGAAGGAGAGGCGGCAGUGGGGAAUAUUGGACAAUGGGCGUAAGGCUGAUACAGCCAUGGGGGGUGAGUGAUGAAGGCGUUAGGGUUGUAAAGCGCUUUGAACGGUGACGAUAAUGACGGUAACUGGAGAAGAAGCACCGGCUAACUUCGUG
rnacentral:rRNA from 1 species